GUGUCAUGGUCAUUGUUGACCAUUCAUACAACCCCUGCAAUUGCAUUGCAGCUUAUGUGAGGAUUAUAUAACGGUCAACAGAGACCCUUGACAU
rfam:Medicago truncatula strain A17 chromosome 2, whole genome shotgun sequence.